UUUUCUUAGGAACCGUCUUAAGAACAUAUUUAAGAGAAAACUUCGGAAGAUAUUGGUGAAUGAGGCCCAUUGUUCCCGGUAACGAGGUUUCAGUGCUGCCCGAUGCUCCAGAAGUUCCAUCAAUUCCAGAAAACGAGGAAAAUGUUGAGCCAUCUGUAGACUUCAGAGCUGAACCAGGUUUCUCCCCAGUAAUCCAGAUUCCACUUCACAGAGCCAAGAGUUUGAGUACAACUCGUCAAGUACUAAGCUUUACAACCCCAGCAGCAAAUUUACCCUGGCAACAUAUGGGUGAAAACCGCCCUUGGACGCCCCUGGCAUCUCGUGUACAGCAUGAGCUUUUCAGCUAUGAAGAUUUCCAGUGACUCCAAAAUGAAAACAAAGCUCUGAGGGAGGAGAACCAAGCUCUGAGGGAUAGCAAUGCACGAGCAGCUUCGGAUGACAGCGGCUCCCUUCAAGAGCAGGUGAAGCAAGUUGGGACAAUGCUGAAGAUGUUUUCUCGAACUGGGCAAUCAGGUGCAGAUCAGACCCUACUGCUGCGACGUCUUGUACAUAGCAUGGACAACAAAAUGGACACAAUGCUGCAACAUUUCAGUGCCAGUGUUACUGUUGGAGAGUUAUCCCUGCCAGGGGAUCUGUUACUCCCCCUAGACACCCAGGAAGAUUUGGCGUGGAUAGACAACAGUUUGAGGCAGGAUAAAGAGCUCCAGGAAAGAUUUGGGCCAUCCGGAAGAACCCGGCAACCCAGGAUCCCAACGAUGAGGCGGUCCAGGUUAAUGUUACGCGUUACCUGAAAGGAGCAUCUGACUGUGAGGGCGGAAAAAGGCGCCGCACAGCUGAGAGGGAGCCAGCUGUCACCCUGGGUGUUGUGUGAGAAGAGAGGAAGAAGGAAAAGGACUGCUAACUUUAGUGUGGGGAGAUGUCACGGGGCGGAAGUAGAUUUUAUUUAUUUACUUUAUUUAAGCAUGCUUUUACUUUAUUUGCUGUAUCUUUUAUAUUGCAUGCUUUUACUUUAUUUGCUGCAUCUUUUAAAUUGCAUGCUUUUAUUUUGAAAAGGUGUGGUGUGUUUUUAAUGUUUGCUUUACUUCUGCCAGUGAACAUUUUAGUAAUCAGGACUUAAGAACUUGCACCUGGGAGCCAGAGAUAGGUUGAUUGGUUUUUAGAUAAAAAGGGCAGAACAGAAGCAGCAAAGAAGCACAUGAUGGAAGCCACUGAGAGCAAAGAAGUACAAGAGACCAACAGGAGAACACGAAGGAGGACGUGGAGAGUGAGACCACCACAGACGGAACAGUACAGACAGACGACCCCCCAAACACCGAUCGCUAGCGGCAACAGUGGGAGAAGGUAAAACUUCUCCCUUCCGUGCUAUGCCCCAGGAGAGGAGCCAAACGUCAAAGAAGCUGGUUGCCAGCAGAGGCCUGUGGACAUUUGAAUCUCGCACUCCUUUUCUGUUGGACUAUUUUUAGCUUGAUUUUUAGUUGGUUGUGUUUUAGUUUUGUAAUUCUGAGGAAUUUUAAUUGGUUUAUUUUUUUAAUAAAUUUGUUUUUCCUCAACUGUUAUUUAAAUACACUUGUUUUAACUGCUCUCCCGGUAGUCUUAAAUUGGAAUUGUUGUAAUUUUAAGAGGUCCUAGGCUUCACUAAAAACCUAGGUGGCGUUGUCGGCCCCAACACAAUUUAUAUAUAUAUUUAUAUCCAACCUAAUCUUACACUAACUACCUAACUAUAUGUAUGUAUGUGUGUAUGUUUUGUUUAUCACUGAUACAAGAGACACAGAUCUCAUUGAAGCACAGUGUAAAUCUUGUACCCCAGGUCAGCAAUGCCAUUAUAAUGGUCUUUUCUACUCCAGAGCUUUACUCUAAAUUAUUACCACUUAUCCUAUUGUUAGAAAUGGCUUUUUUUAAAUACCUCGAUUUAUUUGGUAUCGUGCACAUUCUUUGGCACCAAAUAUCCUCAUUACUUGUUAUGUUUACUGGUUUAUUCUUUUCAUCCCAGAGCUGACCUUUUAUAUUAUCAACAAUUAUUGUAAGAGUUAUAAUUUGCUUGUAAGGCUGUUACUAUAGCCUACUUUGAA